UUGAACGCUGGCGGAAUGCUUUACACAUGCAAGUCGAGCGGCAGCGCGGGGGCAACCCUGGCGGCGAGCGGCGAACGGGUGAGUAAUACAUCGGAACGUACCCAGUUGUGGGGGAUAGCCCGGCGAAAGCCGGAUUAAUACCGCAUAAGUCCUGAGGGAGAAAGCGGGGGACCGUAAGGCCUCGCGCGAUUGGAGCGGCCGGUGUUCGAUUAGCUAGUUGGUGGGGUAAAGGCCUACCAAGGCGACGAUCGAUAGCUGGUCUGAGAGGACGACCAGCCACACUGGAACUGAGACACGGUCCAGACUCCUACGGGAGGCAGCAGUGGGGAAUUUUGGACAAUGGGGGCAACCCUGAUCCAGCCAUUCCGCGUGAGUGAAGAAGGCCUUCGGGUUGUAAACCGCUUUUGUCAGGGAAGAAAUCCUUUGAGCUAAUACCUCAGAGGGAUGACGGUACCUGAAGAAUAAGCACCGGCUAACUACGU
rnacentral:rRNA from 1 species